rnacentral:rRNA from 1 species
UACGUAGGUGACAAGCGUUGUCCGGAAUUACUGGGUGUAAAGGGCGUGUAGGCGGGAUAGCAAGUCAGAUGUGAAAUUCCGGGGCUUAACCCCGGCACUGCAUCUGAAACUGUUAUUCUUGAGUGUCGGAGAGGAAAGUGGAAUUCCCAGUGUAGCGGUGAAAUGCGUAGAGAUUGGGAGGAACACCAGUGGCGAAGGCGGCUUUCUGGACGAUAACUGACGCUGAGGCGCGAAAGCGUGGGGAGCAAACAGG